CUCCGGUAUCCUUUCCAUGGUACAGACUUGUGGGUUGUGGUGUCUGUUUUGCGUGCUUGUAUCUUCAGCCAGAAGUUCUAAAAGAUCUGAUCUAGCCGCCACAGGGAGUAGGCAGUGAAGUCACUAAAUACCCUUGUGGUUGCAUUUGUGCCAUGUGUGUGUGUGCACACGGUGUCCGCCAUCUUGGGAUGAUAUUGUGCGAUGCAAUAUUUGCUAGGCUUGAGUGGAGAGAAAAGCUGGAAUAGCCGACUACUCUCCAGAGGGGACCGGGAU